rnacentral:misc_RNA from 1 species
GAUGAAGAACGCAGCGAAAUGCGAAAAGUAAUGUGAAUUGCAGAAUUCAGUGAAUCAUCGAAUCUUUGAACGCACAUUGCGCCCGCUGGUACUCCGGCGGGCACGCCUGUCCGAGCGUCAUUUCAACCCUCAAGCCCUCCUUCGGGAUGGGCCUGGUGUUGGGGCUCGGCCGCCAUCUCCGGCGGCCGUCCCCUAAAUACAGUGGCGGUCACGUCGCGACUCCUUUGCGUAGUAGAAACACCUCGCUCCGGAUAGCAACGCGGUCCACGCCGUAAAAUCCCCAAUUUUCAAUGGUUGACCUCGGAUCAGGUGGGAAUACCCGCUGAACUUAAGCAUAUCAAUAAGCGGAGGA